rnacentral:rRNA from 1 species
AUGAGGCCGGAGAUCGGCCUCGACAUCGACAAGCUCCAGAUGCUGCUGUCGUUCAAGGCGCAGGGAGCGCGGCUCCUGGAGGCGUCGCUCGACGACCACCAGGGCCUCGUCGCCGCCGUGAAGCAGGUGGACGUGGUGGUGUCGGCCAUGUCCGGUGUUCACUUCCGUAGCCACAACCUCCACCUGCAGCUCAAGCUCGUGGAGGCCAUCAAGGAAGCCGGAAAUGUCAAGCGUUUCCUACCAUCUGAAUUCGGCAUGGACCCAGCAAGGAUGGGGCAUGCCCUUGAACCAGGAAGGAUCACCUUUGAUGAGAAGAUGGAGAUAAGAAGGGCGAUAGAAGAAGGAAACAUUCCCCACACCUACAUUUCUGCUAAUUGCUUUGCUGCUUACUUUGUUCCUAACCUAUGUCAAAUGUGUACCCUUCUUCCACCCAAGGAGAAGGUUCACGUCUAUGGAGAUGGCAACGUCAAAGCGAUAUUCGUGGACGAAGAUGACAUUGCAGCAUACACAAUCAAGUGCGUUGAUGAUCCACGGGCCUUGAACAAGACAAUAUACCUACGGCCACAGGAAAACAUCCUUAGUCAAAAUGAGUUGAUUGCUAAAUGGGAAAAGCUCUCAGGAAAGGUUCUUAAGAAAAUUCCCAUUCCGAGUGAUGAAUUCUUGGUAUCAAUGAAAGACCUUGCUAAUCAGGUGGGGAUAGGGCAUUACUAUCACAUUUUUUAUGAGGGUUGCUUGACAAACUUUGACAUCAGAGAUGAUGGGGAAGAAGAGGCUUCUCUACUCUACCCAGAGGUUCAGUACACCAGGAUGGACGAGUACAUGCAACACUAUUUAUAA